CCAGGGUGGAUGCAGCUGGGGUCAGGCAGUUCCGCAGCAGACCGUUUGCAGCAUUAGUCCAGUGGCAGCUAAAAGACUCAGAGACACUCAGAGAGACAGAAAACUGGUCAGUGACUUAUAUGGUACAUAAAGAUCUAAAGAGGAGAUAGAGACAGACUCUAGCUCAGUGUGCCAGAUAGCCCCGGCAGUCUAGGCCUAUAGCAGCAUAACUAAGAGCUGGUUCAAAUCAGCCCUGACUAUAGGCUUUAUCAAAGAGGAACGUUUUGAGUCUACUCUUGAAAGUUGAGAGUGUGUCUGCCCCCCGAACCUCGAGCGGUAAAUGAUUCCAGAGGAGAGGUGCCUGGUAGCUGAAAGCUCUUCCUCCAAUACUACUUUUAGAGACAUUUGGUACAACGAGCAGACCUGCAGACUGUGAGCGUAACGGUCUAGAUGGAAAGUACGGUAUAACUAGCUCGUCGAGAUAUGAUGGAGCCUGGCCAUUAAGCGCUUUAUAUGUCACAAGGAGGAUUUUAAACUCAAUUCUAUAUUUAAUAGGGAG